GUUAUAUUUUAAUUCUGUUUUAUUUUCGGUUUAUUGCGUGCGCCGUUGUUGAUGGUGCAUUACGAUCGGUUUCUCAAUCCACUUCUUGAAAACGUUCCUGUUUUCCAUCGCAGGCAUGUAUAUUAAAAAAAUAACUGUACUUGCUAUUAUUUCUCUUUUUACUUAAAAUUUUCUGCUGUUUCUAGAUGACAUUUUAAGGUCACCCACAAGAUGUCCAGAAUUAGUCUUACUUUCCCAAGAAUGGAAGAAGGUACAUAUUCGAUAUAUUGGGGCAUUUUUGUAAUUCGGGCGCGUUCGUUUUUGGUUUAUGUACUUUUUGUGUCUACUAAUAUUUCACACCUUCAUGUUUUAACUAACUACCUCUUAAUAUCAUUAUUAUUUUAUUAUUUUUUAAUUCUCUUAAUAUUCUUAUUUUUCAUAAUUUAAAAAAAUCCUUGCCAAUUUA